CCCGGCCCGGGCAGGCUCCGGCCGCCUCCGCAGGUGGUAUUUCCCGCUGCUGGCCUUUCUUUGUAUGUGGACCACCCUGUGUCGUCCUGUUCAGCCCAUUUAGAUUUUGACUUAAAUGUAGGCUCUUAGUCCGGUGUAAAGCUGAUGGGUGGGAGCAAAGGUAAAGAAUGAUGUAAUGCAGCGGCAGCCAGAAAGCAUCUUUUGUUUGAAUUGUGAAAUGGCUACUCCAUAGUCAUCUCCCGAUGAAUCAGAUGUGAGGGGCUGCUUUGUGGAAUGAAC